AACGUCGUGGCGGACGUGACGUUCCCAGCGCCCCCUGUGGUCGUUUCUCUACGUGACUACGACAUACCCUACGCUGCCCCACUACCUGUGCCCGGAUACCCUGUGAUCUGCGUUACGGCGUGUGACCCCAAGCACCCGGACUUCGAGGUGACGGGGCCCCUGUGCGCUCGUCAGGGGAUCAACCAGACGUUCUCCUCCUUCAGGUGGCGAGUGGCCGCUCCUUCAGGAUACGAUGGGGUCAGCAAGGAUCUGAAGGACGUCUCUUCUGAUACGUUUUUCACCAGCACUCGAAGCAUAACGUUAGACAGCGUGUAUUUCUCCACCGGAAGCCGCGUGCAGUGCAUAGCCCGCGCGUACUCCGUGGACGGCGACGCGGGUUUGGAGUCGUCCUCGGCGCCCGUCAGCAUCAACCGGGAAGGCGGUUUGUGUCCUCCGAGGUACGAGGGGACGUUCGGCGCCGAUCCCUUCACGGCAAAGCUGCAGUA